UAUUUAAACACAAUUUUAUUUUCUGGUAGCGCGAUAGUUACUUACUCCUGAAAUGAAACUUUAUAAACGUAGACUAUAGCGUAUAAUGAAUUUAAACUACAUCCCGACGUUUUGAACCGGCUUCAUUUCUUCUUACGCUGACAUCGGUCGCCGACGUCGCUCGAGCGUCAAGCGUCCCGUCGGUCGCGUAUGAUUAAAAAAACCGGAAAAGUGCGAGUCGGACUCGCCCACAAAGGGUUCCGUACUUUUUAGUUUUUUUUUUUUUUUUGGAUUUUAUGGCCUGGUUACGAGACCUUUAAGCCAAGCCUUAUAUUGUAUUACACAGCACUACGAUUGUGAUAAGCCAUAUUAAAGUUUUAACACUGUAUUUUUAAUGUACCUACUUGUAAAUUGGAUAAUAUGCACCAAUGUCUUUUAGUAGAUUACUAAGCGGCGGCGGGCGGGAAGAAAAAUCACUGAUGUUUUUAUAUACUUCACUCAGUUCACUGGCAAGCACUAAUCUGUCAAUAAGGAACUUCUGACAUUUAAAUAAUAGGUGGUUAACGGUUCCUUCUUCAGCUUCACAGAAAGUACACAAGUUAUUCUGUAUCAAUCCCAGUCUGGCAAGGUGUGAUGGUGCAGCAUUGUGUCCGUAGCGCAACCGGUUUAUCGUGGUAAUAAAAUCCCGACUGGCUUUUUUCAGGUUAUUAUACCAUGGCGUUCUUGGCAGGCUUUCUUGUAUGCUUCCGUACCAUUUUCCUUUUCCUAAGUCUUGAUCCUUGUUCAACAUUUGUUCCCAUAACAUUCUUGCAGAUAGAUUUAUACAGGAUAAGUAAUCAGACAUAGGAACAUACAUAGAUUCACUAACAUUAAGCGUGUUUAUACCUUCAAAAGCUACUUUGUCUACUAUUUCAUUACCAGUGAUUCCUUUGUGAAAAGGAACCCACAUAAAUGAAACGUCAAGUUCUUUAAGGCGAUAUUUAUAUAAUAGUUCUUUUAUACCAUAUAAAAUAAAAUUGGUUUUAAAAUGAAUUUUAAGAAGUUUUAAGCCCUGAAGCACACUUAACGAAUCACUUACAAUUAGAAAAUAUUUACAAUUAUUUACAUUGCCAAUUCACAGUAGGGCCUGAUAAACUGCAUAAGCCUCAGCAGUAAAUAUAGUACAUACAUUCUGCAGAAGAAAGCUCUGAGAAAAUUUAGAUUGUGGAUCAUAAAUUGCACUACGUACAUAAUCCACACCUUUGCUACCAUCAGUAUAAAUAGUGUAAUAAUUAUUAUCGGAAAGGAAUUGUAACAUGUCUACAUUACUAGUAACCGAAUCAAUUAUUUUAAAUGGUUGCAUAAUGCUUUUGUAAUGGGAGGAAUAACAUGGCCAAGGAUGCCGCUUUCUAAUUUUACUAUAUUUAUUUUCAAUUUCCAGAAAAAUUUGAAACAAUAUUGGAGAGUUAUUGCCAAGAAGGAGACCCUCUCCAGUUGCCAGAGGACCGGACACAUUGACUCGGUGAGAUCAGAGAUGAGUGAAAUAAAACUAUCAGCGCAACUUCGCCCUCGACGAAAGCCAUACUGCAAAUAUGGAAUGAUACCACUAGCCUCUACAAACCAAUCUAAACGGACUUUGAUCAUGUUUUCAAAUAACUUACCAAGACAAGAGGACAAGGAAAUUGGGCGAUAGGAACUAGCCUGUUCUGGGGAUUUAUCUGGUUUUAGUAUUGGAAUGACACACUGUGAUUUCCAUGAUUCAGGAAUGAUUAAAUUAAGCCAUAAUAUAUUAAGCACAUCAAGAAAUAACUUCUGAGCAGAAAAAUGAAGCUCUUUGAUUACAAUAUAGGGAAAAUUAUCUAAACCUGGACUUGUGUUACGUCUGGAGCGUAGACUAGUUAUGAAUUCAUUCCACGUAAAUGGUUCCAUUAAAAAAUUUGAAUCGCUA